rnacentral:rRNA from 1 species
GAAAACAAAAAGUUUUGGCGGUAUCUUAAGCUUUUCAGAGGAAUUUGCUCUUUAAUGGAUAAAACGCCAGAAUCUUACUAAGAUUAGUAAAAUCAGUUUGUAUACCACUAUAAAAACAAUUAUUAAUAAUAAUUGUUUCAAAAUUAUAAUAAAUAAAAAAUUAAGUCAAGGUGCAGCAAAAAUUUUAGUAUGAAGUGAAUUACAAAGCUUUUUAGAAAUUUAUUAAAAAAAAUUAGGAUUUGAAAGUAAAAAUAUAAUAGAAUGAUUAUUUGAAUUAAGUUCUGAGAUAUGUA